rnacentral:rRNA from 1 species
GAUGAACGCUGGCGGCGUGCCUAAUACAUGCAAGUCGAGCGAACAGACGAGGAGCUUGCUCCUCUGAUGUUAGCGGCGGACGGGUGCGUAACACGUGGAUAACCUACCUAUAAGACUGGGAUAACUUCGGGAAACCGGAGCUACUACCGGAUAACAUGUUGAACCGCAUGGUUCAACAGUGAAAGACGGUCUUGCUGUCACUUAUAGCUGGAUCCGCGCCGCAUUAGCUAGUUGGUAAGGUAACGGCUUACCAAGGCAACGAUGCGUAGCCGACCUGAGAGGGAGGUCGGCCACACUGGAACUGAGACAGGGUCCAGACUCCGACGGGGGGCAGCAGUAGGGAAUCUUCCGCAAUGGACGAAAGCCUGACGGAGCAACGCCGCGGGAGUGAAGAAGGUCUUCGGAUCGGAGAGCGCUGUUAUUAGGGAAGAACAAAUGUGUAAGUAACUAUGCACGUCUUGACGGUACCUAAUCAGAAAGCCACGGCUAACUACGUG